AUUGAACGCUGGCGGCAGGCCUAACACAUGCAAGUCGAGCGCGCGGCGGACGUGUGAGUAAUGUAUGGGGAUCUGCCCGGUAGAUGGGGAUAACUACUGGAACCGGUGGCUAAUACCGCACACUAUCGGCUGAACCCAUUUGGCAUUAGCUAGUAGGUGGGGUAAAGGCUCACCUAGGCGACGAUCUCUAGCUGGUCUGAGAGGAUGAUCAGCCACACUGGGACGGAGACACGGCCCAGACUCCGACGGGAGGCAGCAGUGGGGAAGAUUGCACAAUGGGCGAAAGCCUGAUGCAGCCAUGCCGCGUGUGUGAAGAAGGCCUUAGGGUUGUAAAGUACUGUCAGCGGGGAGGCGUUACCCGCAGAAGAAGCACCGGCUAACUCCGUGCCAGCAGCCGCGGUAAUUC
rnacentral:rRNA from 1 species